rnacentral:rRNA from 1 species
GACAGAGGGUGCAAACGUUGCUCGGGAAUCACUGGGCGUAAAGGGCGUGUAGGCGGGAGAGAAAGUCGGGCGUGAAAUCCCUAGGCUCAACCUAGGAACUGCACUCGAAACUUCUUUUCUUGAGUGCCGGAGAGGAAAGCGGAAUACCUGGUGUAGAGGUGAAAUUCGUAGAUAUCAGGUGGAACACCGUGGCGAAGGCGGCUUUCUGGACGGUAACUGACGCUGAGACGCGAAAGCGUGGGGAGCAAACAGG